AGUGAACGCUGGCGGUAGGCCUAACACAUGCAAGUCGAACGGCAGCACAGUAAGAGCUUGCUCUUACGGGUGGCGAGUGGCGGACGGUUGAGGAAUACAUCGGAAUCUACUUUUUCGUGGGGGAUAACGUAGGGAAACUUACGCUAAUACCGCAUACGACCUACGGGUGAAAGCAGGGGAUCUUCGGACCUUGCGCGAUUGAAUGAGCCGAUGUCGGAUUAGCUAGUUGGCGGGGUAAAGGCCCACCAAGGCGACGAUCCGUAGCUGGUCUGAGAGGAUGAUCAGCCACACUGGAACUGAGACACGGUCCAGACUCCUACGGGAGGCAGCAGUGGGGAAUAUUGGACAAUGGGCGAAAGCCUGAUCCAGCCAUACCGCGUGGGUGAAGAAGGCCUUCGGGUUGUAAAGCCCUUUUGUUGGGAAAGAAAAGCAGCAGGUUAAUACCCCGCUGUUCUGACGGUACCCAAAGAAUAAGCACCGGCUAACUUCGUG
rnacentral:rRNA from 1 species